rnacentral:lncRNA from 1 species
GCAGCGACAGAGCUGAGAGCCCCCAAGCCGCAGAGGUCGUGCGGAGCAGGUUGGUCUAAUUGAAGGCAAUGGAGAAGUAAGUCUUUAUGGAUCAAAAUCUUAGCUCUAGAAAAGGCCUAAGGCAAUAGCUAAUUGAGACUAUGCAUCACUAUUAAGGCAUCUUCACUAAAGGGCGCUGUGGAAACGCUGCCUGAGAUGCAGACACCUGUCAGAAGGGGGCUAAAUUUCAAACAAGGAACGUGGUGUUGCAUCACAAUAAAGUAGAUUCUAGUAUUACCUUCCUUUUUCAGAAGAGGAGACCAAUGGGGAGCAUUGGAAUGAUUUGGUUGCAAGCAUACUACACUACUUGUAAACUGCAGACACAGGCUUAAAAAAAGUGAAAAACUAACCAUGCAAUAAAGAAUGGAAUGAACCAUGAAGCUGUUUCUGUGGCCAGUCAUGUUUUUGAAGCAUAUCCCAUGCUAAUUUCUAGAACAGAAGAAACACACGUGUUCUUGUGUGUAAACCCAGUCCAUGGAAGAGACCGUCUGCUUGUCCCUCCUGAUCUCUGGGCCCAGACAACCAGUAGUCACCAUUCCAAGUGAGGGGUGGCUGCAACUCUACAGCCCCGUUCGUCUCUCCUCACUGUCAAAGCUGCUGAGACCCCAGACUCGACACUUGAAAGAAACCCAUGUCUGUGAAGCACUUGUGGACCAUUCAAGAUUGUGGAAGAAUCACUCAAGAGAAGGAGAUAGCAAUAUUUGCAGAUAUGCAAACUGGCCCCUUGCAUGCACAUCCUGGAGCACGUCCUGGAGCCUUUAGAGGAGACGGCUGCUGCUGUUCCAGUCUCUCCUUAGGCAGACUUGAGUUUCUACCCACUCUUCCCAAGCAGCCGCCCCUCCGCACCCGAGCGAGCCAAAGACCUGGCGGGCUGAGUACUCACUGCGCGCUGGACACAUGCUGAGCCGGCACUGCAGGGACACAGGGCGAGCCGCUGGAUGCAGACCUGUGGCCGCGGCAGUCAUCUUUGAGGAAGGAGUGCUCACAUUCACUCUCCUCCUGCUCUUGGCUUCAGAACCUGGAAGGUAAAGCCACUGACUUCCUGAAAACCUAGCAGCUCCAUUUGCAGUGGCGUGUAAGGUCCAUAUGUAUGGAUGGCUUGCAUGACUGGCCUGGAAACUGACGCCAAAGGAAUUCCCAUGAAAAUGCUUUUGUCUUGAGCCAAGGAGCCUGGGGUAACUUUGAGUAAAGAAUGACCAUGACCACUUGUUUCAGAAAUUUUAAGUAGCUUUGGCUACUUAAGAUUUGGCUUUCAUUUUCUAGUGUGAUGUGAAAGAAAUGCUGCUUGCCCAAUUAAUUGGUAGUAGAGGAAAAUCCAUGCAAGCACCUGAAAUGAGAGUGAUUUGUAUGUGAACUUCCUACUUUCUUUAAAAUUCAGAAUUCUCAGAAGGACGAGUGAGUGCAUUUGUCCCCAGCUAGCAAGUACUGAUGCUCUAAAAGCAUCAUGUGAAGUCAAGGCAAUUGGGAUGUUUUACAGGAGCAGUUAACUAUCUCGACAACAACUCUUUGAUGAUUUUAUAGCCAAGAAUUCUUGACAAUGAGCAGAAUUUAGGAAGUGACACACAUGUGUGUACUUUUAAAAAAAGGAAGUAGGCAUUUUGACUUUUCAGUGGAUUGGAGAGGGCAUUAUUAAUACAAUAUUGGCACACUGUCUGUCUAUGUAAAUUAGGGGACCGAACUGAAAGAAAUGAGAGAUUUUGCAUGUUCUUACUCAUAUGUGGCAGCUAAAAAUUUAAAAAGUUGAAUUCAUGGAGAUAGAGUAGAAUGAGGUUACAAGAGGCUGGGAAAGGUAGUGGGGAGUGGGGGACAAAGUGAGGAUGGCUAAUGGAGACAAAAAUAUAGUUAGAAUGAAUAAGAUCUAGUAUGCAGUAGCACAAUAGGGUGACUACAGUUAACAAUAAUCUAUUGUUUAUUUUAAAAUAAUUAAGAGUGGAGCUGGAAUGCUUCUAACACAAAGAAAUGAUAAAUGCUUGAAGUGAUGGAUAUCCCAAUUACCCUGGUUUGAUCAUUACAUAUUAAAUGCCAUAUAAAAUCAUUACAUAUAUCUCAUAAAGAUAUACAACUAUUAUGUACUUGUAAUAAUUAAAAAUAAAAAUAAAUAAAUAAGAAGGAAAUAAGAAUGAGACAGAGGAGACCGGAAAUACAAUUUAGAUUCAAAACCAAGAUGAAUUAGCUAGGACUCUUUCUUGUAAGGAGCAAAUGAACAACACAUUUCAAAGGUGGCCAAAAAAGUAUAAUUCAAAACUUUCGUGUUUUAUUGUUUAUUGUUGACUGUGCCCCUUCUCUCCAAACCACAUUCAUUUAUUUACACUUUUUGCAUUAUUCUUGCUUACGUGUUUGUGGGAAGGUAGCCCCCCAGAUCAGCUUGGGAAGUAAGGGAACCUAAAAAGAAGUUUGUAGUUCAGGCUCAGCAGCUCAUGCCUAUAAUCCCAGCACUUUGGGAGGUUGAGGCAGGAGGAUUGCUUUAAGCCUGGAUACCAGCCUCAGCUACAAAGUGAGACCUCAUCUCUACAAAAAAUUAAGAAAAAAACUUAGCCAAGCAUAGUGGCAUGUGCCUAUAGUCCUGGCUACCUGGGAGGCUGAGGCAAGAGAAUCACUUAAGCCCAGGAGUUCAAAGCUGCAGUGAGCUGUGAUCAUGCCACUGCAUUCCAGCCUAGGCGACAGAGCAAGACACUGUAUCUAAAAAAAAAAAAAAGUUUUUAUAUAUUCACAUAUUGCCCCCUAAUUCAUUAAACCUCAGGUAUUUAGCCCCUUCAAAGCUGCCGCUGACAAAUGCCCUGUAAGCCUUAGCACACAUGGGGUGGGCCUGGCUCUGAGCUUCACUGGGUCCCACUGUAGUGCCUGAAGAAUGUCCUCACAGGAAACUGAAGAUUGGUGACAGACGGGCCUGUCAGUGGCUCUAGUUUUUACUCUCAUGGAAGCAAAACCCACCAGGCACUUUUUUGGCUAAUGGGUUCAAGGCACCAAAAUGCAUUUAGAGGUGUUGGCCGUGGCAAGGGCUGCAGUGGCGCUGCCAAGUUCUGCAGAUGCUGUCCCAGGUCCCCCUGGCCUCUCACUGAGCAGCUCUCCCAUUCCUCAGUCCUCAUGUUCAGCCAGGUUUCCUCUCCUGCUCUUAUGCUGUCGCCCUGAAGGCCCAGCGCUCUCACUUGCAGUGUGGUGAGACUGGUUUGCAAACUCCAAAAAGCCCCAUGUCUGUCUUACUCCCACUCUUAGUUUAGCCAGAACUGCAGGGAGAUAGAUUUAUUACUCCCAUACAAACAUCCCCACACCUAAUUAUUCUUCCUGAAGCAUUCAUUACUUCCCUUAAAAAAUUACUUAGAGCACCCGACUGGUGUUCUAUUCUCAAUCUGAUUUGCAUCAGAGACAAUGACACAUUCUCAAGUCAGCCUUCUUGAGCAGCAGGGACAAGAGUCCUUCACUUUGAUGGAAGGAGGAAGUGGAUGCUUUCUGAUAAAUAGUGAAGCCCUUUCUCCCCAGUGCCUGUAAAGGUCAACAUCAUUUUCACCUUGAACCCUCACCUCGAAAUUGCUCUCAAGGUGAAGUAUGGAUUCCUGGCUGACUUUCACAUGCCCUAAUACAUGGGGAUGUUAUGUGACCUAAAAAACUCCUGCACAAGGUGAGAUGACACGUCAUUACAGACUGUAAUUUCUACUGCGAACUAACACACAUCUGGAAGGAAGUAACUUUAUGAGGCAGAAAAUUAAAGCACUCACUUCCAGCUUUGCCUAUGCUUUACCACAGUCAGAAUACACACCACUAUUUUCUGAAAAGCCAAAAAAGCAAAUAAGGUAUUGAUUGAAUAUAAAAGAAAAGAGAAUUUGGUAGUAAAUAAUAAACAAGAAAGUUUGAAUGCCUAGUCUGGAGGGUGAAAAUAAAAUCACUUUCCCCAUAAGUAUCACUUUACUACCUUGUACUCUUGUACUGUGGUGCAGGGAAGUGGAUUCAGUCGUUUUUAAAACAAGGACUGUGUUACAACCAUAGGCAGAACAUUGUUCUAGAACAGAGAAAUGUACAAAAAGAAGUUUGCUACAAAAAAGAAUUUCUUAUGACCAAUUAGUCUUGGUGAAUCAUUUCUUUCCAAAGCUACCAAAUGAAAUGGCUUUAGGAUACUCACUCAGAAAUUAAAAGGACAUUUUCAUUUUGCACAGCCAGAACAUUAAUUCAUGAAUUAUUUAAUAUAAUGUUAAUUUAUACUGACAACUG